rnacentral:lncRNA from 1 species
GGUGCUAGAUGCUUAGGUGCUCGCCUUGUUGUUGCAGAUCAUCAGACUCAAUCUCAGGUUCUUGCUCCACGUACUCCGAAACAUCUGAAUCUACCGAUAAAAGACAAAUAUGUAAAUAAGAUUCAAAUAAACAUGCAUAUGCAACAUGCUCUAUAAAUUGAUAGAUAAAUACAGUGGACAACGUACAAGUUGACAUAAAAACUACAUUUGCUGCUCUAGCUUAGGAGAUACACAACUAACCAGUCAUAUACACUAAAAUGGCAACUUUUGAAAAUAAAACAAACAGACCCAACCAUAUACUGAUAUUUUUAGCAACCUUACGUGAAUAAAACUUAUAUCACACCAAGGAGCCAAAUUCACUGGUUCUAAUAUAAUUUGAAUCACCCAAUUUAGACUUGGAAUGAAGUAACUAUGCGCGUUGACUUAAUGUGACAAAUGGAACUGCUACUCGCUGCCCCUUAGCAGAAAUUUGAUUUCAUAGCUUACAAUUGAAAGAAAUGAUAUAGGUGCAUAAGCUAUGUGGUGGGAUAAUUGAUUUAGUUCGGUAAUUAUUAGCACAUGAAUUUAGUGUAAUUACAUUGUAACUCCAGUUAUCUCUUUCUCAUAUAUUACCAAGUGACUUUAGUUCCAUCCUCCUCUGAAUAUCCCCAUGCUUCUUGCUAAUUAACAAUCUACCUAAAGCACCAAGAACAGUGUUCCUAGAAUUUUGCAACUACUAGCUAUUGGUGGUGGAGUUCAGUGGCAAAGCAAUCUUUGUGAGGUCCUUUUGUGUGAGAGAAAACAAAUUGCCGAGGUGCUGAAAAAUCUCACCAAAGGAUGAGGUGCAGCAGGCUGGCCCUAAUUUUCUUAGGGACGACAAACUCAACAACAACUUGGAUCACUAAUGCAAAUCACCAUGAUCCACUGAUGGCUGCAGAAGGAUAGGUGUGAGCUCAUUUAUAUCCUACAUUUGGUGAGGUUGCAGUGCCUGGUACACGGGUUUACCGGAGAAGGGUAUCAAACUAUCAAUAUAGAAAGAGCACGAUCAAGUAGUACAAGGAAGAACAAUACAAAACUCACCUUGCGCUACUUGCAGGACAAAAGCACCGUGAGUACUUGAUCCUAAAGCUAAGAACAUAAAUCUACAGGAGGUAGAGACAUGAGAACUCACCAAAACAGAGGAACUCAAAGGAAACAUGGGUUAUUGUUGCUGGAGUGGAGAUAUAUGAAUUGUAGCUGCUCUUUGCUCUCAAGAUUUAAAUCGGUGACCCAUAGGGAGGGGGAGAAAUAAGGGAUUGUUAGCAUUAUAGGAACUCAAGUAGGGAGCCAUGGAUGUAGAAAGAACUUACCAACACAGAAAAGAAACGUGUCAUCCAGCUGCUGCAACCUCGCAGCCUGCAGCUCCUUGCUGUUCCUCCUUCCCGAUCUCUCUCAAAUGGCCAUGCAUGUGCAAGAUAUUUGGAUGGAUGGAAAACCUAGAGCCCCAGGGAUCCAAAGGUGUGACAUGCAGGGUUUGGUUUUGGAUGUUUGAAGAAGAUUUUGGGGGAGAAAGUGGGGAGGGAGCUCAGCCUAAGGAAGAACGUAAAGUGGCUAGCAAUGGAAAGGGAGGAGGAGGAAGAUGAAGGGUUUUUC